rnacentral:lncRNA from 1 species
GAAGUUUUGAUUCAUUGGCCUAGUUAGCCUUAGAAAUGGACUAAGUGCUAGUUAUGAAUGUUGUUGAGCAUGAUGAGAGGAAUAUUCUAUGAAAAUUUGAGAAGCAUUGGAGGUCGCCGGAAAACGGCUGCCGGCCGCCGCCAUCGGCGGGCCAGCCGCCGCCGCCGCCCCUUAGGGGCAGUUUUUCAUGCUUUUUGGGUUUGUUUUAAUGAGAGGAGUUUAAUGAAGUAUAGUUUGGAAUUUUUGGAGGAGAUUUGAUAAGGUUUAGGAUUUAUCUAUGAUUAAGGAUUUAGGCGGUUAUUCGAAUAGAAAUCCGGCAGUUGGUUUAGCAGGUUUUAAAGUCUAAAAAGGUUAAAUUAUGGCUUUCGGUAAGUGCGAAGUAAUGUGAGCCUUAUUAGGUAAAAUGUGGAGAAGUUAGGCAAGCAAAAUGAAAUUAUAGGCUUCCUUUUUAUUUCGGAAAUUUGAUUAAAGUUUUGUCCUGGUUUGGAGGCUAAAUGAUUAUUUAUUGUUCAGGACGUGAGGAGGAUCAUUUGGAGGAGGCCUCGGGCCGUCGGCAAGCAUAGCCGAGCACUAUGAGUGGACCUUUGAUUUUAAUAUCAUGCAUGCGCUAAAGUUAUUUAAUUUCAAAGGCAUUUGGAGAUAUAAUAUUUUGUUGGAUUAUCGAGUUCCACUUAUUUUUCCGGAACUCUCUUGCUAAUUUUAGUUGACACGUGGGACGUGUCAAGUGUUUUAUACUAUUUCCAUGUACAGUUGGGAACUGUACUGUGCGCUAUGAGUUUAUUAUAAUUUAUUUGGGGAAGUGUGGAUCAUUUUAUUUUAAUAUUGUACUUCACCAUAAAAGGAUUGAUAUAUAGAUUAUUGCUAGCUAACCUUAUUAGCGGUCCUCAUCAUAUGUGAGUCGCUAUUAUAGUCUUAUUAGCGGUACUCAUCAUAUGUGGGUAGAGCGCUUAGCGUGGGACGCUAUUAUAGCCUGGGAGGCAACCGAUCGGUAUAUAUAUAUAUAUAUAUUUAUUGUUAGCUAGCCAUUAUUUAGCGGUUCUCAUCAUAUGAGAAUUGAGCGCUUAGCGUGGGACGCUAUUAUAACUUUUUAAGCGGUCC